ACGUGAAACAAAACCCGCUCUUCUCCACUGCUAACUGCUAACUGCUAACUGACUCGCGUAGCUAGCUAACGAGCUUCAUUUUUAUUCGAAUCGACUCGCUAACGCGAUAAAGAGCGAGUGUCGUGUUCAUGAAUGUAAAGAUAAACAGAGGUUCAGUGACAUCACAGACUGAUUUAAACUCAGGACGUUGGACUUUACGCUAAAACAUCACAGUCCGGAUGAAGAAACUAGCAUCAGCGCAGCUCUAGCUAUAAUGUUGGAGAGAACUUGUUUCGCCAACUUUCCACAACAUUAAAGGACAUCGUGCAGGGUGCAGCUGAUGAACAGGGGAUGAGUGCUUAAGAACGGAGUGUGUGUGUGUGUGAGAUGACAUGGAUGAGACGUGGAGUGUGUGAGUGUGUGUGUGUGUGUGAGUGAGUGGAGUCUGAUAGGCGAGAGGUCGUGGAGUUCGACUGCAGAAAAAGACACCAAAAUUCAGCUGAAUAAAAACCCCGCUGCUACUCAGCUCCCGCUCGUGUAAUUGGUGUUGGAGGAGCUCCGUGUGUGUGUGUGUGUGUGUGUGUGUGUGUGUGUGAGUGUGUGUGUGUGUGUGAGUGAGUGAGUGAGAGGUGGAUUUAGGGGUUUUUGUUCCGUUCCUCGGUUCCCUGCUGUUUAUGGAUGCUCACCAAAUCUGUUCUCGGCGUAUGAAAGAGAAGAAGCUGGUCUUUUCUCUCGUCCGCUUCAGUUCUCAUCGUUUAAAACCCAGUGAAGACGCAGAACAGCGCAAACUGUGACCUUUAACCCAGUGAAACGCAGCCGAUCUGCUGAGACACACACCGCUCACGUCAUUCAUUCCGUCCUGGAGCUAAGAAGAACCCCCACGUUGACCCUCCACCCCAGACCACAGAUCCUCAGUCCGAUGCGAUCAGGUACCACGCUGACCGAUUCCUCGGACCGAUCCUACGCCUGGGUCCGAUCUUUCUUCAGUUCCCUGCUCACAAAUUUAUUUCCUAACUGCAGUCAGUUCCUGCGAACACGGAGGAAAGCGUAGGACCUCGUUACGGUUUCAUCUUCUCCCGUCACGUCCGACUCUCAUUACACGUGUACAGAGACGUUAGGAGGAAGAAUAGAGCUUGGAAGCAGCAGACUGUUGGUGCCUGUGGUGAGUGUAUGUAGCUCGUGCAGUUAGCACGCUUUGCUAAUCUGAUCUGAGAACAGAGACGAGCGCGUAACGCGCAUCACACACCUGAUGUUUACUUUCACACAGAUUAGUGUUACUUCAUCUGUUCCACUCGUUAGCUUUAGACGCUGUAUAUAACUACUGUUUCUCAUCAGAGCGAAAGAAAGAACUCCUCCCACUGCCAUGUAACUCCUCCCACUCUGGUUAAACUGCUCCCACUGCCAUGGAACUACUUCUUCUGUCCUGUAACCCCUCCCACUUUUGUGUAACUCCUCCCACUGUGGUCUAACUCCUUCCUCUGUCCUGUAACCCCUCCCACUGCCAUGUAACUCCUUCCUCGGUCCUGUAACCCCUCCCACUUUGGUGUAACCUCGCCCACUUUGGUGUAACCCCUCCCACUGCCAAGUAAUACCUUCCUCUGUCCUGUAACCCCUCCCACUGUGAUGUAACUCCUUCCACUAUCAUGUAACUCCUCCCACUCUGGUGUAAGUCCUCCCACUGCCAAGAAACUCCUUCCCCUGUCCAGUAACCCCUUUCACUGUGGUGUAACCCCUCCCACUAUCAUGUAACUCCUCCCACUGUCAUGUAACCUUCCUCUGUCCUGUAACUCCUCCCACUGUCAUGUAACUCCUUCUUCUGUCCUGUAACCCCUCCCACUGUGGUAUAACUCCUCCCACUGUUGUAUAACUCCUCCCAUUGUUAUAUAAUCCCUCCCACUGUGUUGUAACUCCUCCUACUAUGGUGUAACUUCUUAGUCAGCUUUGUGCAGUUCAGUGUGGACAAAAGUUUUUAUUUUAGAUUUUUUAAAUAUUAAUUUUAAUGAACACAAAAACACUCAAAAGUUGUAUCAGUUGCACAAAUGUUCAAUACAUAAAGAUCUG
ensembl:lncRNA